CUGAACCAGCAUAUAUGGACUUUGAUUAAAAGAUACAAUUAUUUAGAGCUCUGGAUACAACUGUGGUGAUUAACUGUGCAACAAACAUUUGCAUAUACAUUUGACAUGUUUUGAUUUAUUAUUUUAAAACAAGUGGAUUGUGUGUUGUUUGUUUAUUGUUGAAUUUAUUGUAAAGAAUCCGGC